rnacentral:lncRNA from 1 species
UUUUGCCUGAAUUAAACAAAAUUUAAAUACUUACAUAUUUGCUAAUUCUGAGUGGAGCAACACAUAGCAUUUAGAGCACCAUGCAUUCUUCCCCAUCCUUAGUAGAUCACAGCACCAUAUGCCACCGAGACCACAUAUGGCUUUAAUAUCUUUUUCAAUAUUGUGCUCCAAGAAGCCACUCCCAGUCUAUGAAGUUGCCAUACAAGAGGAAAUCAACUUGCCAUCAUGUUGUUGUGAGGGAUUUCUCAGUUAACGCUUUUGAUUUUAAUCUUCUGAUCUGACAACCGUACACAUCUAAAGAAGUCCCUGUGAAGUUAGGGUUAACUCAAUUUCAAUUUAACUGAGCCACUCUAUCUUCUGAAUCAGGACAACAGACAGAGAUGAAUUAAGGCGAUUCAGAGGCUGCGUAUAUUAUGUGCCUUGG